rnacentral:rRNA from 1 species
GACGAACGCUGGCGGCGUGCCUAAUACAUGCAAGUAGAACGCUGAAGGAGGAGCUUGCUUCUCUGGAUGAGUUGCGAACGGGUGAGUAACGCGUAGGUAACCUGCCUGGUAGCGGGGGAUAACUAUUGGAAACGAUAGCUAAUACCGCAUAACAGUAGAUAUCGCAUGAUAUCUACUUGAAAGGUGCAAUUGCAUCACUACCAGAUGGACCUGCGUUGUAUUAGCUAGUUGGUGAGGUAACGGCUCACCAAGGCGACGAUACAUAGCCGACCUGAGAGGGUGAUCGGCCACACUGGGACUGAGACACGGCCCAGACUCCUACGGGAGGCAGCAGUAGGGAAUCUUCGGCAAUGGACGGAAGUCUGACCGAGCAACGCCGCGUGAGUGAAGAAGGUUUUCGGAUCGUAAAGCUCUGUUGUAAGAGAAGAACGAGUGUGAGAGUGGAAAGUUCACACUGCGACGGUAUCUUACCAGAAAGGGACGGCUAACUACGUG